GACGAACGCUGGCGGCGUGCUUAACACAUGCAAGUCGAACGAAGAGCGAUGGAAGCUUGCUUCUAUCAAUCUUAGUGGCGAACGGGUGAGUAACGCGUAAUCAACCUGCCCUUCAGAGGGGGACAACAGUUGGAAACGACUGCUAAUACCGCAUACGAUCUAAUCUCGGCAUCGAGGAUAGAUGAACGGUGGCCUCUACAUGUAAGCUAUCGCUGAAGGAGGGGAUUGCGUCUGAUUAGCUAGUUGGAGGGGUAACGGCCCACCAAGGCGAUGAUCAGUAGCCGGUCUGAGAGGAAGGACGGCCACAUUGGGACUGAGACACGGCCCAGACUCCUACGGGAGGCAGCAGGGGGGAAUCUUCCGCAAUGGACGAAAGUCUGACGGAGCAACGCCGCGUGAGUGAUGACGGCCGUCGGGUUGGAAAGCUCUGUUAAUCGGGACGAAAGGCCUUCUUGCGAAUAGUGAGAAGGAUUGACGGUACCGGAAUAGAAAGCCACGGCUAACUACGUG
rnacentral:rRNA from 1 species